rnacentral:rRNA from 1 species
GACGAACGCUGGCGGCGUGCUUAACACAUGCAAGUCGAGCGGUAAGGCCCCUUCGGGGGUACACGAGCGGCGAACGGGUGAGUAACACGUGAGCAAUCUGCCCUUCACUUCGGGAUAACCACCGGAAACGGUGGCUAAUACCGGAUAUGACUACUGGCCGCAUGGUCUGGUAGUGGAAAGUUCCGGCGGUGGAGGAUGAGCUCGCGGCCUAUCAGCUUGUUGGUGGGGUAGUGGCCUACCAAGGCGACGACGGGUAGCCGGCCUGAGAGGGUGACCGGCCACACUGGGACUGAGACACGGCCCAGACUCCUACGGGAGGCAGCAGUGGGGAAUAUUGGACAAUGGGCGAAAGCCUGAUCCAGCAACGCCGCGUGAGGGAUGACGGCCUUCGGGUUGUAAACCUCUUUCAGCAGGGACGAAGCGCAAGUGACGGUACCUGCAGAAGAAGCACCGGCCAACUACGUGCCAGCAGCCGCCGUAACAC